rnacentral:rRNA from 1 species
GUCUAUGGCCAUGCCACCCUGAACAUACCCUAUCUCGGAUGCUCAGCAGGGUUGAGCCUGGUUAGUACUUGGAGAGGAGACCACUUAGGAAGACCAGGUGCUGUAGGUG